ACUAGGUACCCAAGGCAGAAUGCAAACUUGGGGUGGAUUCCAUUUCCAAAGACUCUGCUCUGUAUCCUUGGAAAGGGAGGAGGGGAAGAAUAGACAUCCUUGGCAUCACUUCUUUAAAGCGCAACUAGGGUCCUCCGAGGCGCGGACUGUCUGCCUUGGGACAAGUCCCCGCGUGGAGGAGGCAUCCACGCCACGCGGCCCGCUCGCUGCCGGGGAAGGUGGAGGCCAGCGCGUGGGGAGGGAACACAGACCUGGUGUCCAGGAGUGCGGCCCUCCGGGAGCCCCACCGCCCAUCAGGCAGAACUCAGAUCUUGGCACCCUCUGGCCAGACUCAGGUCAGCUCAUGGAACAGCGGCGGCUGGUGCCACACAAAGAACUUCACCAGGCUCCCUUGAGCCUCUUUCUCUGUAUUUUCGGCUCAGCUCGGCCCUAAAUAAAGAUCCUUCCACUCACUGGGAUCUGGAAGAGCCAGAAGACGUGCGGGCUGGGGGCCGGGCUGGAACAAAAGCCUGCACAAGUGCCCUUGUGUGCAGGUAACAUGUCCCCUCUCCUCCAAGGCUCUGGCCGCGGCCGGGCACCUCCGCGGGCUCCGCGCUGACAGAUCUGUGUCCCCGCUACCGCUUCUCCCCUUACCGGCCCGCCUACACCCGCCUCGCCCUCCGGCCCGAGCUUCCAACCUGGCGGUGGCAGCCGCAAUCUGGAUCUUA